GCUGGCAAAUAUAGCACCAUAGAACCACCUGACCCCAUUCCGAACUCAGAAGUGAAAUAUGGUAGCGCCGAUGGUAGUGUAAGGUUUCCUUAUGCGAGAGUAGGACAUUGCCAGCU
rnacentral:rRNA from 1 species